UACGGAAGGCAGCAGUGGGGAAUAUUGCACAAUGGGCGCAAGCCUGAUGCAGCCAUGCCGCGUGUAUGAAGAAGGCCUUCGGGUUGUAAAGUACUUUCAGUCGUGAGGAAGGUGUUAAGGUUAAUAACCUUAGCAAUUGACGUUAGCGACAGAAGAAGCACCGGCUAACUCCGUGCCAGCAGCCGCGGUAAUACGGAGGGUGCGGGCGUUAAUCGGAAUUACUGGGCGUAAAGGGCACGCAGGCGGUUAAUUAAGUUGGAUGUGAAAUCCCCGGGCUUAACCUGGGAAUGGCAUUCAAGACUGGUUAGCUAGAGUCUUGUAGAGGGGGUAGAAUUCCAUGUGUAGCGGUGAAAUGCGUAGAGAUGUGGAGGAAAUACCGGUGGCGAAAGGCGGCCCCUGGACAAAAGACUGACGCUCAUGUGCGAAAAGCGUGGGGAGCAAAACAGGGAUUAGAUACC
rnacentral:rRNA from 1 species